rnacentral:rRNA from 1 species
GAUGAACGCUGGCGGCGUGCCUAAUACAUGCAAGUAGAACGCUGAAGGAAGGAGCUUGCUCUUUCCGGAUGAGUUGCGAACGGGUGAGUAACGCGUAGGUAACCUGCCUGGUAGCGGGGGAUAACUAUUGGAAACGAUAGCUAAUACCGCAUAACAGUAGAUGUUGCAUGAUAUCUACUUAAAAGGUGCAAUUGCACCACUACCAGAUGGACCUGCGUUGUAUUAGCUAGUUGGUGAGGUAACGGCUCACCAAGGCGACGAUACAUAGCCGACCUGGGAGGGUGAUCGGCCAAACUGGGACUGAGACACGGCCCAGACUCCUAAGGGAGGCAGCAGGAGGGAAUCUUCGGAAAUGGACGGAAGUCUGACCGAGCAACGCCGCGUGAGUGAAGAAGGUUUUCGGAGCGUAAAGCUCUGUUGUAAGAGAAGAACGAGUGUGAGAGUGGAAAGUUCACACUGUGACGGUAUCUUACUAGAAAGGGACGGCUAACUACGUG